rnacentral:rRNA from 1 species
AUAUUAGUCAAUGCUCCCCAGAGUGAACUAGCUAACUGAAAUCAUGUUUGUGCCAAAUGUGAUGUCGUAAGGGAACAUAAUGACACUACCUUACUAACAGUGUCGUCUAAGACCGGUGCCAGAAGACUCGGUAAGGCUGGAGACACGAAUGUUGAUCAUCUUAAUCAGGCGUAAAGGGUCUGUAGGCUGCUUAAACGACCUCUAAACCCUCCCCAAGUUUACAGGCCUACCUACUAGCUAGAAUCUAACAGAGGAUAACUACGAUACAAUACCUGGUUUAGGGCUGAUAUCCAAAGACCCCAGAUAGAGUACUCAAUGCGUAAGCAUUUAUCCACCUCAGAUUGACGCUGAGAAACGAAAGUGAGGACAGGAAAUAGGAUUAGAUACCCAGAUACCCCUCUCCGUCAACUAUGAAUGGUAGUUUACCUCUCCCCCCAGAUAGGUAACGAAGUUAACAUGUUUACCAUUCCGCCUUGUGAGUACAACUGCAAAGUCGAAAACAAAAAAAUUAGUCGGUCUCGGAGCAAACGAAGUGAAGUAUGUUAUUUAAU